GACGAACGCUGGCGGCGUGCCUAAUACAUGCAAGUUGAGCGCUGAAGGUUGGUACUUGUACCAACUGGAUGAGCAGCGAACGGGUGAGUAACGCGUGGGGAAUCUGCCUUUGAGCGGGGGACAACAUUUGGAAACGAAUGCUAAUACCGCAUAAAAACUUUAAACACAAGUUUUAAGUUUGAAAGAUGCAAUUGCAUCACUCAAAGAUGAUCCCGCGCUGUAUUAGCUAGUUGGUGAGGUAAAGGCUCACCAAGGCGAUGAUACAUAGCCGACCUGAGAGGGUGAUCGGCCACAUUGGGACUGAGACACGGCCCAAACUCCUACGGGAGGCAGCAGUAGGGAAUCUUCGGCAAUGGACGAAAGUCUGACCGAGCAACGCCGCGUGAGUGAAGAAGGUUGUCGGAUCGUAAAACUCUGUUGGUAGAGAAGAACGUUGGUGAGAGUGGAAAGCUCAUCAAGUGACGGUAACUACCCAGAAAGGGACGGCUAACUACGUG
rnacentral:rRNA from 1 species